AAUCCCAACACAGAAAACUUUCAGGGAGACACAUUAUCAACAAGUCACUUAAAAACAACUGAUUAGGGAUAGAUUAAAAUUGUCAUGAUCUGGCAGAGGAAGGAGUUAUUUGUGUUCUCUUUCUUUAUGAAGUGGCUGAAUAGGAAAAA